rnacentral:rRNA from 1 species
UGGGAAUUUUGGACAAUGGGCGCAAGCCUGAUCCAGCCAUGCCGCGUGCAGGAAGAAGGCCUUCGGGUUGUAAACUGCUUUUGUCAGGGAAGAAAUCCUUUGGGUUAAUACCUCGAAGGGAUGACGGUACCUGAAGAAUAAGCACCGGCUAACUACGUGCCAGCAGCCGCGGUAAUACGUAGGGUGCGAGCGUUAAUCGGAAUUACUGGGCGUAAAGCGUGCGCAGGCGGCUUUGCAAGACAGAUGUGAAAUCCCCGGGCUCAACCUGGGAACUGCAUUUGUGACUGCAAGGCUAGAGUGCGGCAGAGGGAGAUGGAAUUCCGCGUGUAGCAGUGAAAUGCGUAGAUAUGCGGAGGAACACCGAUGGCGAAGGCAAUCUCCUGGGCCUGCACUGACGCUCAUGCACGAAAGCGUGGGGAGCAAAACNGGAUUAGAUACCCUGGUAGUCCACGCCCUAAACGAUGUCAACUGGGUUGUUGGACGGCUUGCUGUUCAGUAACGAAGCUAACGCGUGAAGUUGACUGCCUGGGGAGUACGGCCGCAAGGUUGAAACUCAAAUG